UGAGUUUAAGGAAGGCUUUUGGUGAGCACGUGUUUUAUAUUUCUAUUUCAUAAUGCUGGUAUUUCUAUCAGUCUUUCUGGAAUAUUUCUCCCCUAAAUGCAGAGAGAAUCAAAAGCAAGAAAAGUGGAUUCUAGCUCUCAAAGAGUUUCCAGAGUCCUGAAGAAGCUGGAAAGUUAUUCAGUCAGGUUCCUAACAGGAAGCAGAUGGCAUGCCCAAGGUAGGAUCAUUCUGGGAUGGUUUAUUUACUAAUGCAUGGGCAGAGUGCAAGGGACCCUCAUGAGAUGUGGCUCCAUCUUAAAUCUCUUCUAAGAGUCACAGAAGCAGUUGUUUUGGCAACCUGAUUUGCAUACUACACUUCAAAAUAAAACUAUAACCAUGUUGGAUACAUAAGCAUAGUUGGGUCACCAAAAAUAUCGUAAAUGAUUAUUGGCAUUUGUGUAGCUCCUGAGAACAGAAUUAUCUCCAGUAGAAACGUGUGAGAGACAUUUCUAUCCCAAAGAAUCCAUUUAAAAGAACUCACUUAUUUAAAAAAAAGAAAGAAGAAAGUGAUUCUCCUGCCUCAGCCUCCCAAGUAGCUGGGACUACAGGUGUGCGCCACCACACCCAGCUAAUUUUUUGUAUUUUUAGUAGAGACAGGGUUUCACCGUGUUAGGCAGGAUGGUCUCAAUCUCCUGACCUCAUGACUUCUAGAUACUAUUGGGAUAGGCUGUAUGAAUUCACCAAAUUAGCUGCAGUUUCCAUCAAAGUUUUUAUUUCAUUGAUUGGACCCAUUGUUAUUUUUCCAAAGUAAAAAUUCGAUCAGACUUUUGAACACAUUGUCUUGUUGCUGGAGUUAUCUUAGCCAAUGCUUCUCACUUAAAACUCAUGUGUUUGAAAUAAUAAAACAUAUUUCUCUGUUUCUCCUUAAAAAGGCAAUGUUUUGGCCAGGUGCAGUGGCUCACGCCUGUAAUCCCAGAACUUUGGGAGGCCAAGGUGGGUGAUCACCUGAGGUCAGGAGUUCAAGACCAGCCUUGCCAACACGGUGAAACGCUGUCUCUACUAAAAAUACAAAAAAUUAGCUGGGCAUGGUGGUGGGCACCUGUAAUCCUAGCUACUUGGGAGGCUGAGGAAGGAGAAUCGCUUGAACCCAGGAGGCAGAGAUUGCAGUGAGCUGAAAUCACGCCACUGCACUCAGCCUGGGCAACAAGAGCGAAACUCCAUCUCAAAAAAAAAAAAAAAAAAAGGCAAUGUUUCAUUUCUAUUAUCAGAAAAUUCUUGGAAUACAGACUUUCCUCCCACUUGUUUGGGGAGUCACUAACAGUUCCUUUUUCAGACAAAGAUUACUUCUUCCACAUAAAAGAUGAAAAAUGGCACUUGUCCCGUGUGACCGAUCCCUGAGCCAGCCAUUCUUAGUGAAGAUGGAUAAAUACUGGUGUAACCCAGAUGUCAGCUGAGGUCUCCCAUAAAAUUGGCUUGACCUUUCUAAGUCACAGCCAUGGGGGACCUCUGUGUCCUUGCCAGGAUUUCAGAGAAUUUCCCAGGUCGUAGGCUCAUGUCUGUCACCACUGACUCCAAGUUACUGCUCUGCUGAACUCCCCCUCAUGGCCCAGCCACAGCUCUCCCCUCAUGUCUGCUCUGUGCCAACUGGGGUGACUUUUCAUUGAUUCCACUCAACACACCGCCCAGGCAUUUAUGUAUGGCAGACUUUACUGAAACUUUUGUGCUAUGGAGAGCACUUGUUGAAACAGAAUGCAAACGGCGGAAAAUGAAUCAUUAGGCAUCUUUGUGGUGGCAGGCCCUUCAACCACACAGCCAUCAGUAAUUCCUUGUUUUCCCACACACAACAUCUUCCUGUGAUGUAGCUCAGCCCCUGUCUUCUGCAAGACUCCUACCAUCUCCAUGCUUCCCUGUUUUCCAGGCUGUCUCCUCUCAGCUUCUCUCCCUCAAUUCCCCUGCAAUUUAUUAUGCAGAGCAGCUGAGCUCUGGAGCUAGCCAACUGAACAACCAAGGAGGAAAGAAUCCUUUGAAAGGGUGCUGGGCAGCUCAUAGAACCUCCGCUGUAUGAUCAGAGAACCAGGCCAGAAAAAGGGAGGGAGCAAAAGAAAGAGAAAACUCUGAAGCCAGGGUCAAGACCAACAGCUCCAGACACCACAGCUGCCUCCAUGUCACAGCUUCAUGUCCUAAAGCCUCCUGCUCUGGACCCAGGGAUGCCACCACUGCCCCACUGCCAGUGCUGUUCAUGCAAACCAGUGCUGCUGAUACUGCUCAGCCCGUGCAAUCCCCACUGCCAAAACAACGUCCUCUCUGCCUGCUUCUUUGCAUCACUAGCUCCUCAUUUCUAGUCUGGAUGCAGGCAUCUGAUCAGCCAAGCCUAUGUCUUGUACCCAUUCUUGCCAUAGCUGCACAGCAGCCUGACAAAUGAAGCAUCUGGUUUUUGGCUUCUAUGGUGAAAGACAGACUUUGCUUUCUGCCUGACCUCACACAGUGGGAAAAUCCACAACCAUAGGAAAGGGGUUGAGAUGUGGGGCAGCUGGAAGUAAAAUCCGUCUCCUUCACCUUUCCACUGCCUAUUUGGCUCCUGGCCUUUCUGGCUCCUUAAUGACUUUGUACAACCAAAGACCUAAUAUAGUCAUUGCUAAAAGGUCAUCUUCUCAAGUCUCGCCUUCUAAGAACCCAAAUCUGGGGCAAUUUUGUUCUCUUAACCUUUCCUUUCUUUUGCCUGAAAUGAAAUUACCCAUUUCAUUAACCCCAAUUUUAAAAACAUGAAGGUCCAUGCCCAAAAUUAAUGAAACCUUUCUCAGGUGUCCAAGGUGAUGAGUCAUUUAUGUUCUAGCAACUAUCUAAGAGCAACUUUCAGACAACUUCUGUCCCUAAAAUUGUUUUUAUUUUGAGCUAUUUCUGAUGUAUCCUGGGAUUAUAACAGACAGAGCGGUCACAAGGGGAAUGGAUAUUCUAUAGAUUCCCAAAGGUUGAAUCUUCCAUCCAAGCUUUACUCCUGCACCAUUCACACACCUGCACUAUUCACACGCCUGCCCUGCACUAUUCAUACACCUGCACCAUUCACACAUGUACAGUGUCCAUACACCUGCAGUAUUCACACACAUGCACUGUCCAUUCACCUGCACUGUUCAUACAACUGCACCAUUCAUACACUGACACUGUCCAUGUACCUGUACUGUUCACACACCUACAAUGUCCAUACACCUGCACCAUUCACACAAAUGCACUAUCACCUGCACCAUCCACACACAUACACUGUUCAUACAACUGCACCAUUCACACACAUGCACUGUCCAUACAUCUGCAACAUUUGCACACAUGCAGUGUUCAUACAACUGCACCAUUCACAUACAUGCACUGUCCAUACACCUGCAACAUUCACACAUGUACUGUCUAUACAACUGCACCAUUCUCAUACAUGCACUGUCCAUACACCUGGGCCAAUCAAAACAUGCACUGCCUGCACCAUUCACACACAUGCACUGUUUGUACACCUGCACCUUUCACACACUUGCACCAUCCACACACCUGCACUCUCCAAUAUUAGCCAGUUAUGGCUAUUGAGUGAUUGUAAUAGGGAAUAUCCAAGUUUCAUCACUUGAAAUAUACUAAAAAAUGUAGAAGCCAGACCAAAUUUUGAAGCUGUAGUACUUAUUCUGAAUGUAAAAUAUCUAAUUACUAAUUUUUAUAUUAAUUAUGUAUUAAAAUAGUAAUAUAGAUAUAUUGACUUCAAUAAAAUGUUUUAUUAAAAUAAAUGUCACCUGUUUCUUUUUACUUCUUUUUUUUUCUUUUUUUGAGAUGGAGUCUCGCUCUGUUGCCCAGGCUGGAGUGCAGUG
rnacentral:lncRNA from 1 species